AACGAACGCUGGCGGCAGGCUUAACACAUGCAAGUCGAGCGCCCCGCAAGGGGAGCGGCAGACGGGUGAGUAACGCGUGGGAAUCUACCCAUCUCUACGGAAUAACGACUGGAAACGUGUGCUAAUACCGUAUACGUCCUCCGGGAGAAAGAUUUAUCGGUGAUGGAUGAGCCCGCGUUGGAUUAGCUAGUUGGUGUGGUAAGGGCCGACCAAGGCGACGAUCAAUAGCUGGUCUGAGAGGAUGAUCGGCCACACUGGGACUGAGACACGGCCCAGACUCCUACGGGAGGCAGCAGUGGGGAAUAGUGGACAAUGGGCGCAAGCCUGAUCCAGCCAUGCCGCGUGAGUGAUGAAGGCCCUAGGGUUGUAAAGCUCUUUCACCGGUGAAGAUAAUGACGGUAACCGGAGAAGAAGCCCCGGCUAACUUCGUGCCAGCCGCCGCAGUAAUAC
rnacentral:rRNA from 1 species